rnacentral:rRNA from 1 species
AGUGAACGCUGGCGGCAGGCCUAAUACAUGCAAGUCGAACGGCAGCACAGCAGAGCUUGCUCUGUGGGUGGCGAGUGGCGGACGGGUGAGGAAUACGUGGGAAUCUGCCCAGUCGUGGGGGAUAACGUAGGGAAACUUACGCUAAUACCGCAUGCGCCCUUUGGGGGAAAGCCGGGGAUCUUCGGACCUGGCGCGAUUGGAUGAGCCCGCGUCGGGUUAGCUAGUUGGAGGGGUAAAGGCCCACCAAGGCGGCGAUCCGUAGCUGGUCGGAGAGGAGGGGCAGGCUGGCUCUAGCUGAGCCACGUGGCAGAGUCCUACGGGGGGCGGCGGUGGGGAUGAUUGGACACUGGGGGAGGGCUUGCCCGAGCCAUGCCGGGUACGUGAAGAAGGCCCUCGGGUUGUGAAGCUCUUUUGUUGGGGAAAAAAAGCCUUGGGUUAAUACCCUGAGGUUCUGACGGUACCCAAAGAAUAAGCACCGGCUAACUUCGUGCCAGCAGCCGCCGUAACAC